UUGACCUCAAAUCAGGUAGGACUACCCGCUGAACUUAAACAAAAAAAAGGGGGAAAAAAAAA
rnacentral:rRNA from 1 species